AUUGAACGCUGGCGGCAUGCUUUACACAUGCAAGUCGAACGGUAACAGGCCGCAAGGUGCUGACGAGUGGCGAACGGGUGAGUAAUGCAUCGGAACGUGCCCAGUCGUGGGGGAUAACGCAGCGAAAGCUGCGCUAAUACCGCAUACGAUCUAUGGAUGAAAGCGGGGGACCGUAAGGCCUCGCGCGAUUGGAGCGGCCGAUGUCAGAUUAGGUAGUUGGUGGGGUAAAGGCUCACCAAGCCAACGAUCUGUAGCUGGUCUGAGAGGACGACCAGCCACACUGGGACUGAGACACGGCCCAGACUCCUACGGGAGGCGGCAGUGGGGAAUGUUGGACAAUGGGCGCAAGCCUGAUCCAGCAAUGCCGCGUGCAGGAAGAAGGCCUUCGGGUUGUAAACUGCUUUUGUCAGGGAAGAAAUCUUCUGGGCUAAUACCCUGGGAGGAUGACGGUACCUGAAGAAUAAGCACCGGCUAACUACGUGCCAGCCGCCGCGGUAAAAC
rnacentral:rRNA from 1 species